GGCGUCGCCCGCGCUCGUCGACCAGGUCUUGCGGCCGAGCGCGAACACGCCGGUGCGGCCGACGUCGCGCCAUGCGGUCCGGCUGCCGAGCCGCAACGCAUCGGCCUCGCGCGCGGCGCUCUCGUGCGCAUCGGCCUCGUGCGCGGCCGCUGAGGCGCCCGGCGCGCCGCCCCCGUCGGCCAGUUCGGAGCCCGGGUAACGCGCUGGCAUGAAGCCGUGCGCGACACUGCCGUCGGCAAGCGUGAGCACGCACGGCGCCCAGACCAGAGCGAGCAGCACGCCCGGGCGCGCGAGCCGCCAUCCGGCCAGAUCCGAAAACGGCAGCCAACGAUCAUGCCCGGCGGUCACGACUUCGCAGACCGGCCCGAAUCGCGAAUCGCUGUCGGCGAUCCAGUCGAACGGCGCAUCCGGCCCGCGCCCCGCGACGAACGGCGCGCGAUCGAGCGCGCGCGAACGCGCGCGGUCGGCUUCGUCGCGCGCGCCGGCCGCCUGCGCGCGCAACGCUUCCAGCAGAUCGUCGAUCCACGGCGGCGCAUCGAAUACGAAUCCCGGCCGCGCCUGGCCCGCCAUCACGCGGGCGUGAAAGCGCUCGGCGCGAAUCAGGUCGCGAUAGGCGUGCGCGAUGUGCGCGUGCUGCGCGGCGAACCGCGCAUAAGCCUGCAACUGCCCGACGGCGCGUUCCCCCUGGCCCGUCACGCAGAGCAGUUGAAACAGCGCCCAACGGCUCGCCGCAUCGACGGGCCGGGCGCGCACCGCGGCUUGCGCAGCCGCGAGCCGCGCGUCGAGCGGCGUAUCGUGCGGCCGGGCCGACGUGCGUGCGCCGGGCGGCGCCGGGAAGGCAGGCGUCGUCAUGCGCCGUGCUCCGAAGUCGCGACGGGCGCCGGCAGCGGGCUGUCGAUCGCGAGCGUCUGAUGUUCGCGCCGCGCGAGCGCGGGCGGCAAGCCAGCCGGCCUGCGCGCCGACGCGGCGUGGUAUUCGGCGGGCGCGAAGAGCCGCAAUACUUCCGGGACGGGCUCCGCGUCCGCCGGAUCGGGCGCCUCGCCCGGCGCAAACGUGCCGAAGGCGUCGUCCAGCACGCGCGCCCGGGACAGCAGCGCAUCGAUCGAAUCCGCGCCGUCGGCCGACCGCUGCGGAUCGAUCUGCGGGCCGGCGUCGCGCGUGCGCUCGAUCGCGAGGCGCGCAGCGUCGUCGCUCGCGAGCGACGCCCGCGGAUCGUCGAGCACGCGGCAGUAUUGCUCGUACAGCGUGUGCAGCAAGUCUUGGGCCGCGACCGUGCCGCACACGGCCGAUGCGCCGGCAGCCGUGCCGCCCUGUCGCUCGCCGGGCGUGUCGGCCGCGAACGCCGCG
rnacentral:rRNA from 2 species